rnacentral:rRNA from 1 species
GCUUGACUGUAGCUUGUAAUUGGGUUCGGGCUUUUUUUUGCGCAGCCUAGGUGGGAGGCAACGAUGAUUUUUUUCCGGAAAAAUUUGAGCCGUUAGUGAGAGACCACUCUGAAAAGGCUAGAAUCCUAAUAAUGAUCCUUGAAUCAGGACAUUUGACAGUUGCAGGUGGGCAGUUUUACUGGGGCGGUAUUCUCCUAAAAAGUAACGGAGGGGUGCAAAGGUUCCCUCAAGCUGGACGGAAAUCAGCUUAAGAGUGUAAAGGCAAAAGGGAGCUUGACUGCAAGACCUACAAGUCGAGCAGGGGCGAAAGCCGGCCUUAGUGAUCCGACGGUACCACGUGGAAGGGCCGUCGCUCAACGGAUAAAAGUUA